CUGUCAUUUUGUAACACUAAAUUUGCCGUCAAUGACAGUUUAACAAUUUUUUUUUGACAAGUUGAAAUACAUUUUUACUUGUGUGAUUAAAUUUGAAUCAACCUUAACUAAAAAUGGUGCGAAUAACAGCUGUACUAUCUAGAGUCCCAGUAAUUAAAUUUCGGAAAGGACUAGGUUCAUCCAAUGCCCCUUCGCCGCCUCCUGCUGCAGCAGGUCCCGCGGCAGCAUCAGCGCAAUCGUCAGUUCAAUCUCAACCUGCAGCAGCAAUGAGCAGUGCUCCAAUUUCUGACAUUGAUUUACCACUACGCUACAGACGACGACCAUUAUCACAAGAAGAGAUAGAUCAUAUCAACGGCGGAGGAGUUGUUUAGUUACCACCUUAUUGUUUGUAGAUAGAAUUUAACUAGUCAAUAUCUUAACAUAGUUGUUGGAAGAUAUUUAAAAAAAUGUUUAAUCAA